GCCGGGCGUGGUGGCUCACGCCUGUAAUCCCACCACUUUGGGAGGCUGAGAUGGGCGGAUCACUCGAGGUCAGGAGUUCGAGACCAGCCUGGCCAACAUGGUGAAACCCCAUCUCUA
ensembl:misc_RNA Metazoa_SRP Metazoan signal recognition particle RNA